rnacentral:rRNA from 1 species
UACGGAGGGUGCAAGCGUUAUCCGGAUUUAUUGGGUUUAAAGGGUGCGUAGGCGGUAUUUUAAGUCAGUGGUGAAAACCUGCAGCUCAACUGCAGAACUGCCAUUGAAACUGAAGUACUUGAGUUAUCUUGAGGUAGGCGGAAUGUGUAGUGUAGCGGUGAAAUGCUUAGAUAUUACACAGAACACCGAUUGCGAAGGCAGCUUACUAAGGAUAUACUGACGCUCAGGCACGAAAGCGUGGGGAUCGAACAGGAUUAGAUACCCUGGUAGUCCACGCCGUAAACGAUGAUGACUCGCUGUUGGCGAUACACAGUCAGCGGCUUAGCGAAAGCGUUAAGUCAUCCACCUGGAGAGUACGCUCGCAAGAGUGAA